GAUGAAGAACGUAGUGAAAUGCGAUACUUGGUGUGAAUUGCAGAAUCCCGUGAACCAUCGAGUCUUUGAACGCAAGUUGCGCCUCAAGCCAUUAGGUUGAGGGCACGUCUGCCUGGGCGUCACAUAUCGUUGCCUGAUGCCAGUUUCCUCGUGAUGGGUGACUGUGCAGGGCGAAUGAUGGCUUCCCGUGAGCAUUGUUGCCUCAUGGUUGGUUGAAAAUUGAGUCCUUGGUAGGGAGCGCCGUGAUAGAUGGUGGUUGAGUGACGAACGAGCCCCAAUCAUGUGAGACCCCUACCGAAUUUGGCCUUCAUGACCCACAUGCGUCUUUGGAACGCUCAUGACGAGACCUCAGGUCAGGCGGGGCUACCCGCUGAGUUUAAGCAUAUCAAUAAGCGGAGGA
rnacentral:misc_RNA from 1 species